CGCGUAGGUGGUUCAGCAAGUUGGAGGUGAAAUCCCCGGGCUCAACCUGGGAACUGCCUCCAAAACUACUGAGCUAGAGUACGGUAGAGGGUAGUGGAAUUUCCUGUGUAGCGGUGAAAUGCGUAGAUAUAGGAAGGAACACCAGUGGCGAAGGCGACUACCUGGACUGAUACUGACACUGAGGCACGAAAGCGUGGGGAGCAAACA
rnacentral:rRNA from 1 species